GCAAGGACCCCAUAGGGACCCCAUAGAACCCCAUGGGGACCCCAUAAGAACCCCAUAAGGACCCCAUAGAACCCCAUAAGACCUCAUAGAGCCCCAUAGGACCCCAUUGGACCCCAUAAAACCCCAUAAGGACCCCAUAGGAGCCCAUAAGACCCCAUAGGACCCCAUAGGACCCCAUAAAGCCCCCAUAGAGUCCCAUAGGACCCCAUAGAACCCCUUUAAGCCCCCAUAGGACCCCAUAAAGCCCCCAUAGAUCCCCAUAAGGACCCCAUAAGGACCCUAUAGGACCCCUUUAAACCCCCAUAGGACCCCAUAAAGACCUCAUAGAGUCCCAUAGGACUCAUUUAAGCCCCCAAAGGACCCCAUAAGGACCCCAUAGAACCCCAUAAGACCCUUUUAAGCCCCCAUAAGGACCCCAUAGAGCCCCAUAGGACCCUAUAAAGACCCCAUAGGGCCCCAUAAGGACCCCAUAGGACCCCAUAAAGACCCCAUAAAGACCACUUGAAGCCCCCAUAGAACCCCAUAGGACCCCAUAGAGCCUCAUAAGGACCCCAUAGGACCCCAUAAGACCCCAUAAGGACCCCAUAAGACCCCAUAAGGACCCCAUAGGACCCCAUAAGACCCCAUAGAACUCCAUGAGACCCUUUUAAUCCCACAUAAGAGCCCCACAGAGCCUCAUAAGGACCCCAUAGGACCCCAUAGAACCUCAUUGGGACCCCAUAAGAACCCCAUAAGGACCUCAUAGAACCCCAUAAGACCUCAUAGAGCCCCAUAGGACCCCAUAAAACCCCAUAGGACCCCAUAAGGGCCCCAUAGACGCCCAUAGGACCACUUUAAGCCCCCAUAGGACCCCAUAA
ensembl:lncRNA